CGCGGUUAUACCAAGUGAUUAAGUUAUAUUUUUAGGUAAAAAGAUAGUUAGGUUUAUAAAGUAAUUUUAGUUUAUUGAACAUCUAUAAAAAAGUAAAAUUUGUAUAUAGAUAGCUAAUCUAAUAAUGACUAUAAUCAUACUGAAGCUAUGAAAGUCUUGAGGGAAACUGGGAUUAGAUACCCCAUUAUUCUUGAUUAUAAAUAUAAUUAAAUUUACCAGAGUACUAUGAAUAGUUAAAAAUUUAAAACUCAAAGGGCUUGGCGGUGUUUUAGACCCAUCAGGGGAACCUGUCUCAUAAUCGACAAUCCACGUAAUAUCCAACCUUAUUUUGUAAUCAGUUUGUAUACCGUCGUCGUCAGGUAACUUUUAAAAACAAAGAAGUUAGCAAUUAAAAUUAAUUUGAAUUAAAACGUCAGAUCAAGGUGCAGCCUAUAAUGAGGAGAGGAUGGGUUACAAUUAUAAAAAUUAUAAUUACGGAAAUUUAAAUGAAACUUAUUUUGAAGGAGGACUUGAAAGUAAACUAAAAUACAUAAAUAGUUUGAAUAAGGCUCUG
rnacentral:rRNA from 1 species